CGGGUGCCCGUGGCAUUGGCCCAGCGGAUGACACAGUCACAGCGGAUGGGGUUGCCGUGGAGACCUACCUCCUGCAGCCUGGCAGUGUUGCCCAGGAGGAGGCAGUGGAGUUAAGAAGCCUGGGUCUGAGCUCCUCAGCUGUGCAGACAACUCCUACUUGUUCUUCAACGCUCAACUUUAAGUUCAGUCACCACCUGCAGAAGUCUUCUCCAAAACCUCCCCACCUGGCUGACUAA
rnacentral:lncRNA from 1 species